rnacentral:misc_RNA from 1 species
GAUGAAGAACGUAGCGAAAUGCGAUAACUAAUGUGAAUUGCAGAAUUCAGUGAAUCAUCGAGUCUUUGAACGCACAUUGCGCCCCCUGGUAUUCCGGGGGGCAUGCCUGUCCGAGCGUCAUUGCUGCCCUCAAGCACGGCUUGUGUGUUGGGCUCCGUCCCCCCGGGGACGGGCCCGAAAGGCAGCGGCGGCACCGAGUCCGGUCCUCGAGCGUAUGGGGCUUUGUCACCCGCUCUGUAGGCCCGGCCGGCACCAGCCGACAACCCAUCAUCCUUUUCAGGUUGACCUCGGAUCAGGUAGGGAUACCCGCUGAACUUAAGCAUAUCAAUAAGCGGAGGA